rnacentral:rRNA from 1 species
CCUACGGGAGGCAGCAGUGGGGAAUAUUGCACAAUGGCGGAAACCCUGAUGCAGCGACGCCGCGUGAGUGAAGAAGUAAUUCGUUAUGGAAAGCUCUAUCAGCAGGGAAGAAAAUGACGGUACGUGAGUAAGAAGCCACGGCUAACUACGUGCCAGCAGCCGCGGUAAUACGGAGGGGGCAAGCGUUAUCCGGAUUUACUGGGUGUAAAGGGAGCGUAGACGGCAGUGCAAGUCUGGAGUGAAAGGCGGGGGCUCAACCCCCGGACUGCUGUUGAAACUGUAAGGCUGGAGUGCAGGAGAGGUAGGUGGAAUUCCUAGUGUAGCGGUGAAAUGCGUAGAUAUUAGGAGGAACACCAGUGGCGAAGGCGGCUUACUGGACUGUAACUGACGUUGAGGCUCGAAAGCGUGGGGAGCAAACAGGAUUAGAUACCCCAGUAGUC